rnacentral:misc_RNA from 1 species
ACCAAGCUGAACCCACUUGUUAUCCGAUAAAACUAGCGACAUAGUUAUUAUGACCCUCCAUCUGAAGCAUAUAGAAAGCUCACUAGCAAUGCUCAGCACUUCACAACAAUCCCAAACAGGCAUGUAAAUCUAGUGCACAAGCACCCUCUGAUUCUGCAAUUCCAACAAUCAUUUUCCUUAGCUCCUCACAACACCCUACAUGAGAGAGUGCUUGUAAACUAAAUGUUCCUUGACUAGGCUACAUAUUAGUUCCACGGUUCUCUAUAUAAACUUUUAAAAAAUUCAAGACUAAAUCUCGAUUUCUCUCCA